rnacentral:rRNA from 1 species
GACGAACGCUGGCGGCGUGCUUAACACAUGCAAGUCGAACGGAAAGGCCCUGCUUGUGUGGGGUGCUCGAGUGGCGAACGGGUGAGUAACACGUGAGUAACCUGCCCUUUACUUUGGGAUAACUUCAGGAAACUUGGUCUAAUACCGGAUAGGAGCUCCUGCUUCAUGGUGGGGGUUGGAAAGUUUGGGCGGUUGGGGAUGUACUCGCGGCUUAGCGGCAUGUUGGUGGGGUAGUGGCUUACCAAGGCUUUGAAGGGUAGCCGGCCUGAGGGGGUGACCGGCCAAAUUGGGAAUGAGAUCACGGCCAGACUCCUACGGGAGGCAGCAGUGGGGAAUAUUGCACCAUGGGAGGAAGCCUGAUGCAGCAACGCCGCGUGCGGGAUGACGGCCUUCGGGUUGUAAACCGCUUUCGCCUGUGACGAAGCGUGAGUGACGGUAAUGGGUAAAGAAGCACCGGCUAACUACGUG